GACGUAGGGUCCAAGCGUUAUCCGGAAUCACUGGGCGUAAAGCGUGCGUAGGUGGCGUGUUAAGUGUGAUGUUAAAUCGCGGGGCUCAACCCUGUCGAUGUGUCGCAUACUGGCAUGCUAGAGGGAAGCAGAGGCAAGUGGAAUUUGUAGUGUAGCAGUGAAAUGCGUAGAUAUUACAAGGAACACCAAUGGCGAAGGCAGCUUGCUGGGCUUCUUCUGACACUGAGGUACGAAAGCGUGGGGAGCGAACAGG
rnacentral:rRNA from 1 species